rnacentral:SRP_RNA from 2 species
GGCCGUACGGCAAUGGUGGACUUUCGAAUCGUGUCAGAUCCGGAAGGAAGCAGCACUAAGGAUGUUCUGUCAUGUGCCGUUCGUACAUA